rnacentral:rRNA from 1 species
GGUGUACGAUGGGGAUGCGUUCCAUUAGGUAGUAGGCGGGGUAGAGGCCCACCAAGUCGACGAUCGGUAGCCGGACUGAGAGGUUGAACGGCCACAUUGGGACUGAGACACGGCCCAGACUCCUACGGGAGGCAGCAGUGAGGGAUAUUGGUCAAUGGGGGAAACCCUGAACCAGCAACGCCGCGUGAGGGAAGACGGUCUUCGGAUUGUAAACCUUUGUCCUCUGUGAAGAUAAUGACGGUAGCAGAGGAGGAAGCUCCGGCUAACUACGUGCCAGCAGCCGCGGUAAUACGUAGGGAGCGAGCGUUGUCCGGAUUUACUGGGUGUAAAGGGUGCGUAGGCGGCUCGGCAAGUCAGAAGUGAAAUCCAUGGGCUUAACCCAUGAACUGCUUUUGAAACUGUCGAACCUGAGUGGAGCAGAGGCAGGCGGAAUUCCCGGUGUAGCGGUGAAAUGCGUAGAGAUCGGGAGGAACACCAGUGGCGAAGGCGGCCUGCUGGGCUCUAACUGACGCUGAAGCACGAAAGCGUGGGUAGCAAACAGGAUUAGAUACCCUGGUAGUCCAUGCCGUAAACGAUGAGUGCUAAGUGUUGGGAGGUUUCCGCCUCUCAGUGCUGCGGCUAACGCAUUAAGCACUCCGCCUGGGGAGUACGACCGCAAGGUUGCAACUCAAAUGAAUUGACGGA